ensembl:lncRNA ITGA9-AS1 ITGA9 antisense RNA 1
AAGGAGCAAGUGGACACAGCCUGCCUCCCAUAAGCUGUCUGGCUCACUCAUUUUAUUCCUGGAAAUCAGAAGUCAAUCAUUUCCUGAGAAAUGAGGAAAAAGAUGGAGGUCACAGAGACCAGUAAGAGCAAGGAGGGAGAGGAAAAAGCUGAACAUGAAACUCGAGGAAGAAACAGAAUAUGCAGAGGAAUAAAAAAAACCCAACUCUCUCAACCCUGGAUUGAAUGCUGUGCACUUCCUGAGGCAAUGGAUCACGGAGGAGUUUAUCUAAGGGACAUGCCAAUCACUCAUUCCCCAGGGCUGGAUUCUCUAGCCUGAGUCCUAUUUCAGGUCAGAUGUGAAGAAAACUAUUUGCCUGAAUACCAAACUUUAAACUCACUGUAAAAAUUACCUUCAGAGAAACAACUGGAAGGAUAAGCUGCAUACCCUCAGAUUUCUUUCUUUUGUUCCCCAGAGGGUGAUAAGAACAUUUGGUAUAUUCUGUGCAACCCCUGUUCUUCUUUUCCUUCUUUCAACACUCAUACCCUCUUCAUUACAUGGUCUGUGUUACUUGAACCCUUCUAAAUAAUUUUCUGAACUACAUCUUUAAUUGCAAGACACCCCCAAAACUAUAAGAGUAGGAAAGAGUAGAAACAACUAAGAUGAAAUAAACCCAUCAGGUCUUUAUCUAUUUCCUACCCAAUUACGAAAAGCAAAGGAGAAAAAUAAAAUAACUCUGAGAAGCAA